rnacentral:rRNA from 1 species
UAGGGAGUGGGAGAGGCAGACGGUAUUCAGUGGGUAGGGGUAAAAUCUUCUGAUCCAUUGAGGACCACCAGUGGCGAAGGCGGUCUGCCAGAACACGUUCGACGGUGAGGGAUGAAAGCUGGGGGAGCAAACCGGAUUAGAUACCCGGGUAGUCCCAGCUGUAAACGAUGCAAACUCGGUGAUGCAUUGGCUUAUUGCCAAUGCAGUGCCGCAGGGAAGCCGUUAAGUUUGCCGCCUGGGAAGUACGGACGCAAGUCUGAAACUUAAAGGAAUUGGCGGGGGAGCACCACAAGGGGUGAAGCCUGCGGUUCAAUUGGAGUCAACGCCGGG